rnacentral:rRNA from 1 species
UACGUAGGGGGCAAGCGUUGUCCGGAUUUAUUGGGCGUAAAGCGCGUGUAGGCGGCCAGAUAGGUCUGCUGUGAAAACUCGAGGCUCAACCUCGAGCUGUCGGCGGAAACCAUCUGGCUAGAGUCCGGAAGAGGAGAGUGGAAUUCCUGGUGUAGCGGUGAAAUGCGCAGAUAUCAGGAAGAACACCUAUGGCGAAGCAGCUCUCUGGGACGGUACUGACGCUGAGACGCGAAAGCGUGGGGAGCGAACAGG